CCAGAUAGAGCGAUGUACGCGACGAAAAGUACGCCGGAAAUCCAAAGUAAUUUUCGGAUUAAACGUUCGCAAGAAUGGCACCAAGAGAAAUACAGAGCGCGUAUGUCAUUGACGCUAAAACUUGGCGCGGUUAAUAUGGUGCACACAGUAACAUGUAACACAACACACACGAGAGACACGUGCUCCCUCCCUUUAAUGUAUCCUCGUGAGAGUUGAAAUUUAUUUUUAAAGGAGAACUCGUUUCUUCUUCGAGAAGGAACGAAAUGUUCGUCGUAAGAUUCACGUUUGAUAAAGAGAAGGAACAAGAGGAAGAAGAGAAGGAGAGUCGUAAGGCGAGAAAAAGACAGGGGAAUAAAAGGAAGGAGGGAGUGGAGUACAAAGGAGGGAGAGAAGAGGAGAGGAAAGGUUUGCUGUCAAGCCGCGUGUCGCAGCAGAAUAUACGCUCGAGAGCAAACAAAAUUCAACUUCAAAAAUAAAACAUUGAGCGGUGGCGUCCAAAUAAAAUAUCUAAUAUAAUAUCACCGAUUUCUCAUGGUAAAUACAUGAUUAACGCACGCGCAAAUAUACAGUUUUUGAAGUUGUGCAGACUCGCUUGGGUAAAUCGUUGUGAAAAGGAGGCCGGGCAAAGCUACGGUCGUCGUCGACGUCGACGACGACGACGACGACGACGACGACGACGACGACGACGACGACGACGACGACGACGACGACGACGACGACGACGACGACGACGACAACGACGUCGACGACGACGACGACGACGACAACGACGUCGACGACGACGACGACGACGUCGACGACGUCGACGACGACAAUAACGACGACGACUUUAAUUGCAAAAUGUGUAGGAAUAAAAUUCUUGGUAAAUAUGCGCGAGAUCGUUUGGACUGAUGCAAUGUCGUUGUUAUUCUUGCUUCGCGGGAGAGAACUGUCACGCACAAAAUGGCCAUUCGCCGUUAACAGCUUAGCAUGGGUGCCUGAUGGCGGCGCUUUGUGUUCGCGUCCGCAGAUCUUCGCUGAAGAUGACGGAUAAUACGGCUUCAUCUACCCAUUUCUCGUUCCUCGCACGAGCGUCAAGUUCGGUCUCUGUUACAAACGGCCCUAGCGUAUUUUCUCGUUCAUUACCCCCACCGGACCAUCGCCAUGCUUCUCUUUUUCGAACGCACACGUUGAAAACAUGCACACGCACGUAUACGCACACCCAGGGAGCCAUCUCCACGAGAAAAGACUUAACUUCGUACGAACGACUAAAGAUGGCGCAAAAAUCAACGGUCUUACCAUACACGAUAUCGUCGUUUGCGGCCCGUUUGGAAGAUGAACAAAAUAGUUCCCGUAACGCGUAUUUCUGAUUUUACUUUGAAGAAUUAGAGAAAGAGAGGGAGAGAAAGAGAGAGAGAGAGAGAGAGAGAGAGAAAAAAAGAGAGAUAGAGCGAGAGAGCGGAUCGUUGAGAAUAGUCGGUCGGUCAAGCGAAGUGCAACGUUGCAACGAGUGGCCCCGCGCUUCCUUUCGGGGCGGAGCCCGCGCUCAGGCCGCGACGGUUCGGUUCUCCCUUUUCUCCGCACGCCUCUCUCUCUUUCUCUUUCCUCUCAUUCCACGACGACGACGACGACGACGACGACGACGACGACGACGAUAUAGGACGAAUGUCGCUACAGAGAGCAAAUAUUUGCGAUGGCGUAUUCACAUAGGAUAAUAAGAAAUGUCACCGUCACCAUUUACAUUCUCCGUACUUUCUUUUCUCUUUUUCUUGUCUUUUUCAUUGGCAUAUACAUUUUGAUUUUUCGAAUUAAGUUCGGCCAAUGCCAGCGAAUAAAUGUCAGCGUUCAUUCUCUAGUCUAUACAGUAUUGCGCAUUCACUCAAGUCUAAGGAGCAAGAAACUCGCUAAGAAUAGAUUUGUGAACGAGUUCAAAGAAGGCCUCCUUCGAAGAGAUUCCCUUCCAAGUGUAAACCAGAAGGAAUUCGAAACUUUCUAUUUUUACGAGAUCAAUCUUACUCUCCUAUCUUCCUAAGACAACUCAACCAGUCCAAACUAUGACAUCGUACGUUACACGUACUCUCAAUGGUAGCCCUUUAUUAAAUGCAAUACAUUACAUUUACGAUCGUACUUUUAGAAAAUUCAAAAUCACAUCCGAUGACGCGCCGCGUGCAAGUAGUGGUAGGUCACGUCCUCUAUCGACCGUAGAGACGCACCAAUCAAAAAUGGCGGGAAGGGGUGAAAAAAUAGUAUGGCAGCCUAUCCAAAAUGUAUCCAAAAUCUUUGUAGAACGAAUCGACAAA